rnacentral:rRNA from 1 species
UACGAAGGGGGCUAGCGUUGUUCGGAUUUACUGGGCGUAAAGCGCACGUAGGCGGCUCUUUAAGUCAGAGGUGAAAUCCCAAGGCUCAACCUUGGAACUGCCUUUGAUACCGGAGAUCUUGAGUCCGGGAGAGGUGAGUGGAACUGCGAGUGUAGAGGUGAAAUUCGUAGAUAUUCGCAAGAACACCAGUGGCGAAGGCGGCUCACUGGCCCGGUACUGACGCUGAGGUGCGAAAGCGUGGGGAGCAAACAGG